rnacentral:rRNA from 1 species
AUUGAACGCUGGCGGCAGGCCUAACACAUGCAAGUCGAGCGGAUGAAGGGAGCUUGCCCCUGGAUUCAGCGGCGGACGGGUGAGUAAAGCCUAUGAAUCUGCCUGGUAGUGGGGGAUAACGUCCGGAAACGGGCGCUAAUACCGCAUACGUCCUGAGGGAGAAAGUGGGGGAGCUUCGGACCUCACGCUAUCAGAUGAGCCUAGGUCGGAUUAGCUAGUUGGUGGGGUAAAGGCCUACCAAGGCGACGAUCCGAAACUGGUCUGAGAGGAUGAUCAGUCACACCGGAACUGGGACACGGUCCAGACUCCUACGGGAGGCAGCAGUGGGGAAUAUCGGACAAUGGGCGAAAGCCUGAUCCAGCCAUGCCGCGUGUGUGAAGAAGGUCUUCGGAUUUUAAAGCACUUUAAGUUGGGAGGAAGGGCAGUAAGUUAAUACCGUGCUGUUUUGACGUUACCAACAGAAUAAGCACCGGCUAACUUCGUG